UACGUAGGGUGCAAGCGUUGUCCGGAAUUAUUGGGCGUAAAGAGCUCGUAGGCGGUUUGUCGCGUCUGCUGUGAAAACUGGAGGCUCAACCUCCAGCCUGCAGUGGGUACGGGCAGACUAGAGUGCGGUAGGGGAGAUUGGAAUUCCUGGUGUAGCGGUGGAAUGCGCAGAUAUCAGGAGGAACACCCGUGGCGAAGGCGGCCCCCUGGGUCGGCCCUGACGCUGAGGCGCGAAAGCGUGGGGAGCGAACGGG
rnacentral:rRNA from 1 species